CUCUCUCUAAACUUUCUCUCACUCUCAGUCACCCACCUCCCAAAAAGUGUCAGUCUGAAUCGGAGACCAUAGACGAAUCGCUCGUUGAAAACAUUUCCGACAAGAUUCAUAGCUUUAAUUCUUCUUCGUCGUCGUCAGAUUCUGAAUCGGAGAAGAAAAUUAAGUUUGAUGAUGAUGAUGUUAAGAAGCAUCAUGAUGCUGCUCCGUCGUUAUCUUCUUCUCUGAAAUGAAAGAGUAACCGAUUGGCGGUGGAAACGUAAGGAACAGUUGUUUUAUUAGUUUCUUCUUUCAAUUUCUUGCUUUCAACUCUCAAUCAAUCGAUAAUAUUCUCGUCAGUCGGAUUCAGGAUUAGAUUUUUCCAUCUGGGUUUCAAUCAAGAUUGAUUCUUGUGCAUUCAGAAAUACAAAAAAACUGUUGAUUUGAAAUCAUUUGAUUUAUAAAUUAAUAAUCUUUGAUCUGGGGUUUUGAAGAUAGAAACAGAGAUAAAGAUUAUUCAAUUCAUGGGUUGUUUUUCUUGUUUUGAUUCGAGGGUAGAAGAAAAAAAAGAUUCCUCAAAAAGUUGAGGCUGAUCAACCUCAAGUCCACUCACCUGCUUCUUCCAACAUCUCCAGAUUACCUUCUGGAUUUAGGAAUCCCCUUUUGGGUCUGAAUGUUGAACAUUGAGGUGACAUAGAGAUGAUUUAGGGAUUGUGAGGGUUAUAAAGGGGGAAAU